CGAUGAGUAGGGCGGGACACGUGGUAUCCUGUCUGAAUAUGGGGGGACCAUCCUCCAAGGCUAAAUACUCCUGACUGACCGAUAGUGAACCAGUACCGUGAGGGAAAGGCGAAAAGAACCCCGGCGAGGGGAGUGAAAAAGAACCUGAAACCGUGUACGUACAAGCAGUGGGAGCACAGGUUUACCUGUGUGACUGCGUACCUUUUGUAUAAUGGGUCAGCGACUUAUAUUCUGUAGCAAGGUUAACCGUAUAGGGGAGCCGUAGGGAAACCGAGUCUUAACCGGGCGUUAAGUUGCAGGGUAUAGACCCGAAACCCGGUGAUCUAGCCAUGGGCAGGUUGAAGGUUGGGUAACACUAACUGGAGGACCGAACCGACUAAUGUUGAAAAAUUAGCGGAUGACCUGUGGCUGGGGGUGAAAGGCCAAUCAAACCGGGAGAUAGCUGGUUCUCCCCGAAAGCUAUUUAGGUAGCGCCUCGUGAAUUCAUCUCCGGGGGUAGAGCACUGUUUCGGCUAGGGGGCCAUCCCGGCUUACCAACCCGAUGCAAACUGCGAAUACCGGAGAAUGUUAUCACGGGAGACACACGGCGGGUGCUAACGUCCGUCGUGAAGAGGGAAACAACCCAGACCGCCAGCUAAGGUCCCAAAGUCAUGGUUAAGUGGGAAACGAUGUGGGAAGGCCCAGACAGCCAGGAUGUUGGCUUAGAAGCAGCCAUCAUUUAAAGAAAGCGUAAUAGCUCACUGGUCGAGUCGGCCUGCGCGGAAGAUGUAACGGGGCUAAACCAUGCACCGAAGCUGCGGCAGCGACGCUUAUGCGUUGUUGGGUAGGGGAGCGUUCUGUAAGCCUGUGAAGGUGUGUCGUGAGGCAUGCUGGAGGUAUCAGAAGUGCGAAUGCUGACAUAAGUAACGAUAAAGCGGGUGAAAAGCCCGCUCGCCGGAAGACCAAGGGUUCCUGUCCAACGUUAAUCGGGGCAGGGUGAGUCGACCCCUAAGGCGAGGCCGA
rnacentral:rRNA from 1 species